AGCUCGAAUAUGAGAUCACAGCCGAUAUAAUAACGAUCGUCAGCCCGUCCGAUAUUGGAGACUUUGAACGAUGGUUGAAGAGAUAAAAACGGACGAAAACAGCAGAUUUGGAACAUUUGAAGCACUACCGUUCGCGUUCCCCUGAUCAAGACUCGAUCGCUGAUAUUAAAAUCGAAGAGUUAGAAUUAAUUGGGACACGGAACAACUAUACUCUUUGAAGCCUGGAAAAUACGAUAGAUCUAGUUGAGACUCAACAGUCAAUAUAAGUUAUGUGGGGAGAAAAUGAGCUACUGGACCCUCUUAAACAGCGACUUUUUCAAAAAAAUGUAGAUGGUCAACGGCUGGCAUCGAACCAGUCAUCUCUGGUUUCGGCCUAGGAAAUUAGGCGCUCAAGCUAGUCAGGCUGUUGAAGUGGGCGAUCUUGUGUGGUAUUUAUAUAGUCAUAAUAUGUAAUGACUAAUAGUGUGAGAUCUAUUUUAAAGAUUCGAAUUACUGUUUGAUGUAUAUAACUGUUCAAUGUUUUUGUUGCAUUAAAAAAGAAGCUGCGGAUUAGUUUCAAGAUCCGCCAGUUUUAAAUUUGCUAAGCUAGUCUUUAUAUUAACUGUGAGUAAUAGUUAAAUUUUGAUAUUAUACUUAUAUUUAUUAUUGUAAA